rnacentral:rRNA from 1 species
ACGCCUAAUACAUGCAAGUCGAACGAAGUAGCAAUACUUAGUGGCAGACGGGUGAGUAACAUGUGGGUAUCUUCCCUUUGGUGAGGAAUAACACGAGGAAACUUGUGCUAAUACCUCAUAAGUCUUUACGGAGAAAGCUUUAUGCGCCAAUGGAUGAGCCCGCACUUGAUUAGUUUGUUGGUGGGGUAAUGGCCUACCAAGACAAUGAUCAAUAGCUGAUUUGAGAGGAUGAUCAGCCACAUUGGGACUGAGACACGGCCCAAACUCCUACGGGAGGCAGCAGUAGGGAAUCUUGCACAAUGGGGGAAACCCUGAUGCAGCGAUGCCGCGUGAGUGAAGAAGGCCCUUGGGUUGUAAAGCUCUUUCGUCGGGGAAGAAAAUGACUGUACCCGAAUAAGAAGGUCCGGCUAACUUCGUGCCAGCAGCCGCGGUAAUACGAAGGGACCUAGCGUAGUUCGGAAUUACUGGGCUUAAAGAGUUCGUAGGUGGUUAAAAAAGUUGGUGGUGAAAUCCCAGAGCUUAACUCUGGAACUGCCAUCAAAACUUUUUAGCUAGAGUAUGAUAGAGGAAAGCAGAAUUUCUAGUGUAGAGGUGAAAUUCGUAGAUAUUAGAAAGAAUACCAAUUGCGAAGGCAGCUUUCUGGAUCAUUACUGACACUGAGGAACGAAAGCAUGGGUAGCGAAGAGGAUUAGAUACCCUCGUAGUCCAUGCCGUAAACGAUGUGUGUUAGACGUUGGAAAUUUAUUUUCAGUGUCACAGUGAAAACAAUAAACACACCGCCUGGGGAGUACGACC